AGAGUUUGAUCCUGGCUCAGGACGAACGCUGGCGGCGCGCCCAACACAUGCAGGUCGAGCGAGAACCAGGACUUCGGUCCUGGGGACAGCGGCGAACGGGUGAGUAACACGUGGAUAACCUGCCCUCGGCACCGGAAUAGCCCGGGGAAACUCGGAUUAAUGCCGGAUAGCCCCACAGCCUUUAGGGGCGGUGGGAAAAGGUAGCUUCGGCCUCUGGCCGAGGAUGGGUCCGCGGCGGAUUAGCUAGUUGGUGAGGUAACGGCUCACCAAGGCGACGAUCCGUAGCUGGUCUGAGAGGACGAACAGCCACACUGGGACUGAGACACGGCCCAGACUCCUACGGGAGGCAGCAGUGGGGAAUAUUGGACAAUGGGCGCAAGCCUGAUCCAGCCAUGCCGCGUGAGUGAUGAAGGCCUUAGGGUUGUAAAGCUCUUUCAGUAGGGAAGAUAAUGACGGUACCUACAGAAGAAGCCCCGGCUAACUUCGUGCCAGCAGCCGCGGUAAUACGAAGGGGGCUAGCGUUGUUCGGAUUUACUGGGCGUAAAGCGCACGUAGGCGGUUUGUUAAGUCAGGGGUGAAAUCCCGGAGCUCAACUCCGGAACUGCCUCUGAUACUGGCAAGCUAGAGUCCGGAAGAGGUAAGUGGAACUCCUAGUGUAGAGGUGGAAUUCGUANAUUUUAGGAAGAACACCAGUGGCGANGGCGGCUUACUG
rnacentral:rRNA from 1 species